ACCUGAUAAGAGAAAUAUUGUCAUCAGAAAGGAAGUUUCCCCAAGUUGAGGCACAUCCAUUGCUUUCACUUUGAGCUGACAUCAACCAAGGCUCCAAAUGUAAGUCAUUCAAC
rnacentral:snRNA from 1 species